rnacentral:rRNA from 1 species
CGAAGCGUGCGAUUGGAUUGCACGUCUAAGCAGUAAGGCUGAGUAUUAGGCAAAUCCGGUACUCAUUAAGGCUGAGCUGUGAUGGGGAGAAGACAUUGUGUCUUCGAGUCGUUGAUUUCACACUGCCGAGAAAAGCCUCUAGAUAGAAAAUAGGUGCCCGUACCGCAAACCGACACAGGUAGUCAAGAUGAGAAUUCUAAGGUGAGCGAGCGAACUCUCGUUAAGGAACUCGGCAAAAUGACCCCGUAACUU